UGCCAGCAGCCGCGGUAAUACGGAGGGUGCAAGCGUUGUUCGGAAUUACUGGGCGUAAAGCGCAUGUAGGCGGCUUAUGAAGUCUGGUGUGAAAGCCCUCGGCUCAACCGAGGAAUUGCGCUGGAAACCAAUAAGCUUGAGUACGAGAGGGGAUUGUGGAAUUCCGAGUGUAGAGGUGAAAUUCGUAGAUAUUCGGAGGAACACCAGUGGCGAAGGCGGCUCACUGGCUCGAUACUGACGCUGAGGUGCGAAAGUGUGGGGAGCAAACAGGAUUAGAUA
rnacentral:rRNA from 1 species